GCCCAUAAUUUCUCUCUUAGUCACAUCUCUGGGCUUUGACCACAUCCUGUUUUUGCUCUACCCCAGUCAGUGAAAAUGAUCAGUGCUCUGAUGUGUCUUUCACAGAUCCUAAAGCUGGUAUCUGAAUGUGUCUGUGUUCCUAUUAGCAUCACGUGAGGAGGUUGGGAGACUGGCCCACCCCUGCCCACCAGGACCCCCUCUCCACAUGACCUGUGUUCUCUUCCCUAGUCAGCUUUCCUGUUCCAUCAGAGGCAGCGCUGGGCCAUCUCCAUCCCUGACUUGACCCCACGUUGUACUAAUAAUGUUUUACUUCCUUAUGGAAAAUAAAAAACCGGAUAUGAA